rnacentral:rRNA from 1 species
AUUGAACGCUGGCGGCAUGCCUUACACAUGCAAGUCGAACGGCAGCACGGGAGCAAUCCUGGUGGCGAGUGGCGAACGGGUGAGUAAUAUAUCGGAACGUGCCCAGUCGUGGGGGAUAACGUAGCGAAAGCUACGCUAAUACCGCAUACGAUCUAUGGAUGAAAGCGGGGGAUCGCAAGACCUCGCGCGAUUGGAGCGGCCGAUAUCAGAUUAGGUAGUUGGUGAGGUAAAGGGCUCACCAAGCCGACGAUCUGUAGCUGGUCUGAGAGGACGACCAGCCACACUGGGACUGAGACACGGCCCAGACUCCUACGGGAGGCAGCAGUGGGGAAUUUUUGGGACAAUGGGCGCAAGCCUGAUCCAG